rnacentral:lncRNA from 1 species
GCCCGUAGAUGCAUCUUUGUAGCAUACUGAAAUAGAAACAGAAGCAGAAAAUUAGAAAGUUAUAUUUUGACAAAAUAGAAUUACCAUUCAUAACAUAAAAUCAACAUUAUAUAAAUGAUGUUAACAUAAAAUUAGACAUUAGACUUCAAUAUCUAGGUGGAUGCUUCAGCAUCUUCAUAAUAUCUUUGAUCGAUCUUGAAAUCGUUGCUUCCAUCUCGAUUGAAACUUUUGU